UACCUGCAGCUCAAGUGGUGACCACUAUUAUUGGGCCUAAAGCAUCCGUAGCUGGCUGGACAAGUCCCCUGUUAAAUCCACCGAUUUAAUCGUUGGUGUGCGGGGGAUACUGUUCGGCUAGGGGACGGGAGAGGCCGACGGUAUUUCCGGGGUAGGGGUGAAAUCCUAUAAUCCCGGGAAGACCACCAGUGGCGAAGGCUGUCGGCUAGAACGCGCCCGACGGUGAGGGAUGAAAGCUGGGGGAGCGAACCGGAUUAGAUACCCGGGUAGUCCCAGCUGUAAACGAUGCAGGCUAGGUGUUUGGGCGGCCACGUGCCGCUCUAGUGCCGCAAGGAAGCUGUUAAGCCUGCCGCCUGGGGAGUACGGCCGCAAGGCUGAAACUUAAGGGAAUUGGCGGGGGAGCACCACAAGGGGUGAAGCUUGCGGUUU
rnacentral:rRNA from 1 species